rnacentral:tRNA from 1 species
GGUGGGAUUCCUGAGCGGUCAAAAGGGCCAGACUGUAAAUCUGGUGGCAUAUGCCUUCGCAGGUUCGAAUCCUGCUCCCACCA